rnacentral:rRNA from 1 species
CCCUUAGAUGUCCUGGGCCGCACGCGCGCUACACUGACAUGUUCAACAAGCCUCCUAGUUCGACAGGAUUUGGGAAAUCUUUGAACGCAUGUCGUGAUAGGGAUAGAUCAUUGCAAUUAUUGAUCUUGAACGAGGAAUUCCUAGUAAACGCGAGUCAUCAGCUUGCAUUGAAUACGUCCCUGCCCUUUGUACACACCGCCCGUCGCACCUACCGAUUGAAUGGUCCGGUGAAAUCUUCGGACUCUGUGUUUAUUGAUUAGUUUCAAUUUACUACUGGAGAAAGUUGAGUAAACCUUACCAUUUAGAGGAAGGUGAAGUCGUAACA